GAUGAACGCUGACAGAAUGCUUAACACAUGCAAGUCUACUUGAUUCUACUUCGGUAGUUGAUGGUGGCGGACGGGUGAGUAACGCGUAAAGAAUCUGCCCUUUAGUUUGGGAUAACCUUUGGAAACGAAGGCUAAUACCGGAUAUUAUGGAGACGUCGCAUGACGACUCCAUGAAAGCUAUAUGCGCUAGAGGAGGACUUUGCGUCCCAUUAGUUAGUUGGUGAGGUAAUGGCUCACCAAGACCGCGAUGGGUAGCCGGCCUGAGAGGGUGAUCGGCCACACGGGAACUGAGACACGGUCCUUACUGCUACGAGAGGCAGCAGUGGGGAAUAUUGGACAAUGGGCCACAAGCCUGAUCCAGCAAUUCUGUGUGCACGAUGAAGGUCUUCGGAUUGUAAAGUGCUUUCAGUAGGGAAGAAAAAAAUGACGGUACCUACAGAAGAAGCGACGGCUAAAUAUGUGCCAGCAGCCGCCGUAA
rnacentral:rRNA from 1 species